GUUAGAUAUUAGGAGGAAGUUUUUCACACAGGGGGUGGUGACACACUGGAACAGGUUGCCCAAGGAGGUUGUGGAUGCCCCAUCCCUGGAGGUAUUCAAGGCCAGGCUGAAUGUGGCUCUGGGCAGCCUGGUCUGGUGGUUGGCGACCCUGCACAUAGCAGGGGGCUUGAAACUCGAUGAUCAUUGUGGUCCUUUUCAACCCAGGCCAUUCUAUGAUUCUGAUUCUAUGAUCUGUGAUACCACAUUGAAUGUAUGCAUGUUUGUAUGUUAUUUCCUGGGGCAGAGCUCAUGUUUGUUUUUCAGAGUAAGGAAAAUAAAGGUCUCAGCACUUAGCCCAUGAUGACCGUUUUGCAGAAAUAGAACGCCAAGCAAGAAGAACGAAGCCUGCAGGAGUACAAGGAGGAAAUGAAAGUUGCCGUACCGACAGGGCUACACAAAUCCCGCGAUGGGUGGAUUAGGCUGAGCGUUAUCAGUGAUGAUGAAACACAGCAGACUGUGCAUGAAAACAGGAGUACCUGCGACUCUGUCCUGGGUGGAGAAGCAGUUUUAGAGGCAGGAGAAGCUGAAGGAUGCAGACUGCCCUGCAGUCCUGCAGGUACAGCUGGUGCCUAUAAAUAGAAAACCUCUCUCUCUAGGAGUACUACUGCAGCUGAUAAGAUAAUUACAGACAAGGUGGACAACAAAGCUGAUUCGGCACAGUAGCCGAUGCUGCCUCCCCAGGGCUUGAGGGCUCAGACACAGCAUCCUGUGACAGCAGCUUCAAGCCUAUUUCCAAGCAUAAG
ensembl:lncRNA